rnacentral:rRNA from 1 species
CCUACGGGAGGCAGCAGUGAGGAAUAUUGGUCAAUGGACGAGAGUCUGAACCAGCCAAGUCGCGUGAAGGAUGACUGCCCUAUGGGUUGUCAACUUCUUUUAUAUGGGAAUAAAAUGUUCCACGUGUGGGAUUUUGUAUGUACCAUAUGAAUAAGGAUCGGCUCACUCCGUGCCAGCAGCCGCGGUAAUACGGAGGAUCCGAGCGUUAUCCGGAUUUAUUGGGUUUAAAGGGAGCGUAGGUGGAUUGUUAAGUCAGUUGUGAAAGUUUGCGGCUCAACCGUAAAAUUGCAGUUGAAACUGGCAGUCUGGAGUACGUGAGAGGUUUGCGGAAUGCGUGGUGUAGCAGUGAAAUGCGUAGAUAUCACGAAGAACUCCGAUUGCGAAGGCAGCUCACUGGACUGCAACUGACGCUGAGGCUCGAAAGUGUGGGUAUCAAACAGGAUUAGAUACCCGAGUAGUC